rnacentral:rRNA from 1 species
UUUUUGGGGCGUGCCUUAAUACAUGCCAAGUCGAGCGAACAGAUAAGGAGCUUGCUCCUUUGACGUUAGCGGCGGACGGGUGAGUAACACGUGGGUAACCUACCUAUAAGACUGGAAUAACUCCGGGAAACCGGGGCUAAUGCCGGAUAACAUUUAGAACCGCAUGGUUCUAAAGUGAAAGAUGGUUUUGCUAUCACUUAUAGAUGGACCCGCGCCGUAUUAGCUAGUUGGUAAGGUAAUGGCUUACCAAGGCAACGAUACGUAGCCGACCUGAGAGGGUGAUCGGCCACACUGGAACUGAGACACGGUCCAGACUCCUACGGGAGGCAGCAGUAGGGAAUCUUCCGCAAUGGGCGAAAGCCUGACGGAGCAACGCCGCGUGAGUGAUGAAGGGUUUCGGCUCGUAAAACUCUGUUAUUAGGGAAGAACAAACGUGUAAGUAACUGUGCACGUCUUGACGGUACCUAAUCAGAAAGCCACGGCUAACUACGUGCCAGCAGCCGCGGUAAUACGUAGGUGGCAAGCGUUAUCCGGAAUUAUUGGGCGUAAAGCGCGCGUAGGCGGUUUCUUAAGUCUGAUGUGAAAGCCCACGGCUCAACCGUGGAGGGUCAUUGGAAACUGGGAGACUUGAGUGCAGAAGAGGAAAGUGGAAUUCCAUGUGUAGCGGUGAAAUGCGCAGAGAUAUGGAGGAACACCAGUGGCGAAGGCGACUUUCUGGUCUGUAACUGACGCUGAUGUGCGAAAGCGUGGGGGAUCAAACAGGAUUAGAUACCCUGGUAGUCCACGCCGUAAACGAUGAGUGCUAAGUGUUAGGGGGUUUCCGCCCCUUAGUGCUGCAGCUAACGCAUUAAGCACUCCGCCUGGGGAGUACGACCGCAAGGUUGAAACUCAAAGGGAUUUGACGGGGACCCCGCACAAGCGGUGGAGCCAUGUGGUUUUAUUUCGAAGCAACGCGAAGACCUUACCAAAUCUUGACAUCCUUUGGACCACUCUAGAGAUA